UGGGGAAUAUUGGGCAAUGGGCGCAAGCCUGACCCAGCGACGCCGCGUGAAGGAUGAAGGUUUUCGGAUUGUAAACUUCUUUUAAGAGGGACGAUAAUGACGGUACCUCUUGAAUAAGCCCCGGCUAACUACGUGCCAGCAGCCGCGGUAAUACGUAGGGGGCAAGCGUUAUCCGGAUUUACUGGGUGUAAAGGGCGUGUAGGCGGGAUUUCAAGUCAGAUGUGAAAACCGAAGGCUCAAACCUUCGGCCUGCAUUUGAAACUGAAGUUCUUGAGUGCUGGAGAGGCUAACGGAAUUCCUAGUGUAGCGGUGAAAUGCGUAGAUAUUAGGAAGAACACCAGUGGCGAAGGCGGUUAGCUGGACAGUAACUGACGCUGAGGCGCGAAAAGCGUGGGGAGC
rnacentral:rRNA from 1 species